rnacentral:rRNA from 1 species
GACGAACGCUGGCGGCGUGCUUAACGCAUGCAAGUCGAACGGAAAGGCCCUGCUUGCAGGGUGCUCGAGUGGCGAACGGGUGAGUAACACGUGGGUGAUCUGCCCCUUACUUUGGGAUAAGCCUGUGAAACUGGGUCUAAUACUGGAUAGGACCAUGCUGUAGGUGGUGUGGUGGAAAGAUUAGUUUCGGUAAGGGAUGAGCUCGCGGCCUAUCAGCUUGUUGGUGGGCUAUUGGCCUACCAAGGCGUCGCCGGGUAGCCGGCCUGAGAGGGUGGGCGGCCAGGUUGGGACUGAGACACGGGCCAGAAUCCUGCGGGAGGCAGCAGUGGGAGAUAGUGCACAAUGGGAGCAAGCCUGAUGCAGCGACGCCGCGUGGGGGAUGACGGCCUUCGGGUUGUAAAGUCCUUUCAGCCAUGACGAAGCGCUUGUGGUGACGGUAGUGGUAGAAAAAGCACCGGCUAACUACGUG